AAGGAAGAGGCGACUAGGGGCCAUCCCACCAGGAGGACCCUACUGGAAUGAAGUAACUCUGACUUUGGGGACCACCAUACAAGAGAGAGCAAACAGUUUUGGUCUUUUCAGCAGAUUCCAUGAGAAUUAUGAGAGCUGAUAAAUCUUCAUCUUACCCAGAUAAGGAUGCUGCUCAAGUCUGCAACAUGACAAGAUAUGAAGAAAAUGAUCUGGAAACUUUCCCAAUGCAUUGUAUAUGUCCAUUGGGGCAGUGAUUAAUAGAAGACUCAUUCUUCUCAAUAAACACUUUAAA